GACGAACGCUGACGGCGUGCUUAACACAUGCAAGUCGAACGGAAAGGCCCUGCUUUUGUGGGGUGCUCGAGUGGCGAACGGGUGAGUAACACGUGAGUAACCUGCCCUUGACUUUGGGAUAACUUCAGGAAACUGGGGCUAAUACCGGAUAGGAGCUCCUGCUGCAUGGUGGGGGUUGGAAAGUUUCGGCGGUUGGGGAUGGACUCGCGGCUUAUCAGCUUGUUGGUGGGGUAGUGGCUUACCAAGGCUUUGACGGGUAGCCGGCCUGAGAGGGUGACCGGCCACAUUGGGACUGAGAUACGGCCCAGACUCCUACGGGAGGCAGCAGUGGGGAAUAUUGCACAGUGGGCGGAAGCCUGAUGCAGCAACGCCGCGUGCGGGAUGACGGCCUUCGGGUUGUAAACCGCUUUCGCCUGUGACGAAGCGUGAGUGACGGUAAUGGGUAAAGAAGCACCGGCUAACUACGUG
rnacentral:rRNA from 1 species